AUGGCGGUCUCUUGCGAGCCAGUACAUCAACUUCAACUUUCCUCAUUUUCUAAAUACACGAAGCCUUCAUUUUCACACAUGAUUAAUAACAAAUGGACUGUUGUCUUCUUGGGGACGGCUUGCCAAAUACGACAGGAGACGCUACAAGUCCUGAUGGAGAAAGAGGGAGUGGGAGGGAGACAAAACUUGCGAGAGGACGAGGGAAAGCCCGUAAUGCUGUAAUGCCCAUUAGUGAGAUUUCACGCACUCUCUCUGAUCUGACUCACUGACAGAAGCCUCUAACAGACAAUAAUGAGAAUGUUUGGCAGGAUUCUGGAUGUGUGUGUGUGUGUGUGUGUGUGUGUGUGCAUCAGUGUCUAGUUUUUAUGUGCUCCGCUCAUCAGCUGUGACAGAAAAUAUUUGAUAUGAUGCAUGCACCCACACAUAUUGUCCUCACACAUUAUUAUUCUUUGACAAAAAAGCAGAACAUCAGAUUCACGUAUAGCAUUGUACAUUUUUUCAAGUCAAAUGCAUUGAGGGUCUGUUUUUGGGGAUGCAUAUUAAAAUAAUGGCUGAAAUCAGUAAGUAUUUAAUUAUUUUUGUUAUAACCAAUAAAUGGAAAAAAAAUUGUAUUAAUAAUGAAAAA
ensembl:lncRNA